CAGUAGCCACGGGAAUACGAGGGGGGCAAGCGUUGUUCGGAAUUAUUGGGCGUAAAGGGCGCGUAGGCGGUUUGACAAGUUUGGUGUGAAAUCUAUGGGCUCAACCCAUAGCCUGCAUCGAAAACUGUCGGGCUUGAGUAUGGGAGAGGUGAGUGGAAUUUCCGGUGUAGCGGUGAAGUGCGUAGAUAUCGGAAGGAACACCUGUGGCGACAGCGGCUCACUGGACAAUUACUGACGCUGAUGCACGAAAGCUAGGGGAGCAAACAGGAUUAGAGACCCCCGUAGUCCCUGUCUCUUAUAC
rnacentral:rRNA from 1 species